AAGACCUUACGCUUUUGGAGCGGCCGAUGUCUGAUUAGCUUGUUGGUGAGGUAAAGGCUUACCAAGGCUUCGAUCAGUAGCUGGUCUGAGAGGACGACCAGCCAUACUGGGACUGAGACACGGCCCAGACUCCUACGGGAGGCAGCAGUGGGGAAUUUUGGACAAUGGGGGCAACCCUGAUCCAGCCAUGCCGCGUGAGUGAAGAAGGCCUUCGGGUUGUAAAGCUCUUUCAGCCGGAACGAAACGGUUACGGUUAAUACCCAUGACUACUGACGGUACCGGAAGAAGAAGCACCGGCUAACUACGUGCCAGCAGCCGCGGUAAUACGUAGGGUGCGAGCGUUAAUCGGAAUUACUGGGCGUAAAGCGUGCGCAGGUGGUUUUGUAAGUCAGAUGUGAAAGCCCCGGGCUCAACCUGGGAACU
rnacentral:rRNA from 1 species